ACGUGGCGACGGCGGCGGCUACGGGGUCUCCCGCGCGGCGCUUACGGGGCGACGUGAGGCGGCACCGCCGCCAUCUUGGAGCUCGAGUGGCCGCGGGAGAAUGAUGGAAAUCCUUCCUGACUUAAAGCCUCCACAACUUUCUUUUGAAAAGGUAUUGAUAUUCUUAAAAACUGAGGAGUCCAGCUGCAAACAACAGUCAGGAAAAGGGCAUCAGUCCAUUAAAUGAUAAGGUCUAAGGGUAAACUCCCAAGGGAUGCCACUGGUAACUGCUGUCAGAUGGAGUGUGAUUCUUUAACCCCUUGGGCCUGUCAAGGUAGAUUUUCACCCAUUCAGCAGCCUGUCCAUCCACACUAUAACAUUCCAGUUUGGAUACAAGUUUACUGUGGGAGACCAUGCUGAAAGCCCUCCUGAAGUCAAGGCAUGGCUCCUGCAGACUUGCACUGUUAUUGUCCCAGAGGACAAGCAGUGGUUCCAUGGAUCAUCAUUCUUGCCUUUAGCAUUAUGGGCUUUUGGAUAGAUUGAAGUGUGAAAUCAGCCUUUCACUUCACAGUUAAGAGAUUUGACAUAGUCCAUAGUGAUACACUCCCUACAAACUGGGACUAAAAAGUCUGUAAACAGUUAUUGAUCUCCACAUGCUACUGGGGAAAUUUUCCAAGAUCAGUGACAGCUGGGAAAUCACUGGCAUUUUAAAAUUAUAGAUCACUGAUUCACUUUUUUGGCAUUUUCAGUAUUGCAUUAUGGCAAUAAACAUGCUAGAUGUGUAUAAAAAAACCAAAAUGCUUUUAGCAUUUUCGUAUUUUUUUGUUUGAGCAGUAUUACAGAUGAAAAUUUCUUGAUACAAUUCAAAAUAAUGGGUUUGUUUAUUAAAGAUAUAUACCCAUUAAGAUGAAGUUAGGAUGAGGAAAAUGCUUGUUUGUGUGAAAAUAAUAUCUGCUUUUUCAACAACAGCAUCUCUUGAGGUUUCUUUGAUUCAUAUCUGAUUACUUUAAUGACUAAACCAGGUUUUAACUCCCGUUAGCACUGCAGAAUACAGAGAAUUAUGGAAGAGUAAAAAGUAUUUUGCCCUCCCAAGUCAUUGUCAACACAACUCUCAAGUACAUUUCAUUCUGGAAUUAUUUGCAAGGGAGGGGAUUGGUUUCAAGUCAUUGUCCCAGGUAGAGAUUGCAGAAGCCUCUGGUCAGUCACUGAGCUUUCAUUACAAUUUGGGAGGAGUUGGGUGCUUGCCUACAGAAGGGCACAGGUGCGUGAAAGGAAAAGAUGUAUUGACAAAAUCACCUCUUAGCUGGACAAUUAAAAAUGUGAGAGAAACCCAAGCUUGUUCUGUGCUGCCUGGGGCAGGAAGGACUUCAUAUUGUUAACACAGUGAUUCCUCUGGCUGAUGAAGGAUCUGCUCUGACGCAUUCUGAAGGAUGUUGCAUAUGCCUUGGCUGGGAAAAUGAUGUUUUCUUUGUACUGGUCGAGGAUGGAAAAGAAGGGGAAAUGGUGGGAGUGGUGACUCGGGUGAUCUUUAGAGAAAAAAAAUAAUGCAAAUUCGAGUUGAAGAUGAGCUCUCUAUACUUCCAGGUUUGAAAAUAAUUAGCAGUCACAGAAUUCAUAAUCUACUGUCUCAGAUUUUUGCACUGCAAAAAUACACAUUUUAAAAUAGAAUAAAAAAUUGACUAAUGAGAUUAGCUGGCUAAUAAUGUUUUAAUGCAAAAAGUAUGUAAUAGAAAAUAUUGUUCAGUCAGAAUCCGGAAAGAAAGACAGCAAAUAAUAAACUGAUUUGAGCUAAGAACUUUGAAUACAGACUUAAUUGUUCAAGAUACGACUGAUUUUAUUUUAUUUCCAUGACAGCAUCAUUUCAUCCAUAGUCUGUCAUGCCAUGAGGCCUGUAAGAGGCUGUCUUUGAAGGGAUUGUAAUGGCAGGUACAGUUCUGCCAAGCAGAAAUGAUGCCGGAGAUGCUGCAGAAGGUGGAGGCUUUCCUGUGAUGAACCUGGAGGCAAUCUGGAGGGGUUGGGGCUUAUGGAAUAACUGGCAAGGCAGGAAUGUUCCUGCACAAGUGCAGUGCAAAACUGAAAGGCUAAAGGUGAACCAGGACUUCAAGGGCUGACACUUGAAGUCCUAAGCCACCAAGUGCAUUGAACUCAACCAAGGCAAUCUACCUGCAGCCUCUGAGCUCAUUCCUUGGAUUCCUAAAAGGAAUAAACCCAUCAUUGUUCAUCCAUGUGGCUGGCAUUGGCAUAGAUCUACUCCACUCCUAUCUGAGCACUCAUAGGACUUGUAUAUAAUAGGAGCAAAAGAGAGUUCCUUGCCACUUAGUGUGAGAAAAAAAUGCUGGGGAAGACAAGUGCAUAUUAGGAAGUGCUCGCUGGCAAGCAAACACUCCUCAGCUCUGCCUGGCUUAGAGGGGCAGUGGAAGAGCAAGGGUGUGUGUCUGAGAAAGCUCUGCACGUUGGCAAUCCCCUGCUUUUACAAGCCCAGAAGAGCUUGUGGAAGAGUGGAAAAGCAAAGUAGCAUUCCAAAUCCUGGAGUCACGGGUUGUUCACCUCCUGUACAGCACGGCUGUCAUUUACAGGCUGGGUUCCUUCAGGCUGAUGGUUUCUCGGUGUAAUUACACAAUAUUGAUGCACAUCUGUGAGGACAAACCGUUAGGAACAAACAGUUCAAAAUAUCUAUAAAAUGUAAAAUUAAAAAAAAAUAUUUUCAGGUGUGAAAUGAGAUGAUGCUUUGCCUGCAUGGGCAAAAAUUGAUCCAAGUUUUGUGAUGAUGGUGUCUCUGGUUUCAUAUCAGUUAUCUCAGCAUAACUUUUAGAUUAUUUCUGAAAUCAUGCACAGAACGAGGGGAGAUACAGUUUGACCUCUUCAGACUUGCUGCAUUUUAAUUUUUCCUAUGCUUAGAAAUAACACAGAAAAAAAACCCCAAGAGGUAAUAUUAUUUUUAUAUAAAUCUCUGUAGUUAUACUAGGCAUGUUCAGAAUACAUUAAAGAUACUGUCCUGACACAGAAAAAUUACAAUGUGCUUUUAGAUAUUACAUAACUAAUGAGAGCAAUAAAUGCUGGGAGAACGAGUGGAUCAAGGUUACAAUAAUAAGAUUAUAGCAUUCCUCCACUAUGUGUGCAUGGUUGAAAAUUCACCUCAAUUUUGCUACCUCAGUCUGGGCUUUGGUUUUUCAUUUUGGCUUUUUCUUGCUUUAUCAGAUCUAAUUUUCUGUCUGAGUCCACCAGACCAUAACAUCCUGGCUAAAAACUCUGACCAGACUUUUGAUUUUCUCUCUCUCUUUUUUCUUCUUCGUCUUUUUAGUUUUCUUAUUUUUAAUUUAGAAUGUACCUGCUCUGCUUGCAUGACCACCAUCGAUGGCCUGUCUGUUGCAGAACCAUUGUCAUGGUCUUUUCUCUGACUGGAGUCACAGCUGAAGCACCAAUAGAAUAUACACUUGAAUGCUUGCACGACUUUUUUCUGCACAGGGAAAGUGAUACCAAAAAAAAGUAAUUAUAUGAUUUCUACACAAUUACACCUGGAUUUUUAAAUCCCCACUUUGGAGACCCACACCAUACACCGUGUGUG